CACGUAGGGCGCAAGCGUUGUCCGGAAUUAUUGGGCGUAAAGAGCUCGUAGGCGGUCUGUUGCGUCCGCUGUGAAAACCCAGGGCUUAACCCUGGGCUGGCAGUGGAUACGGACAGACUAGAGGUAGGUAGGGGAGAAUGGAAUUCCCGGUGUAGCGGUGAAAUGCGCAGAUAUCGGGAGGAACACCGGUGGCGAAGGCGGUCUUCUGGAGCACUCUUGACGCUGAGGCGCGAAAGCUGGGGGAGCGAACGGG
rnacentral:rRNA from 1 species